ensembl:lncRNA
GGUGUCCCCCAGGUGAUUCAUCCUGACAUCCCUGAGUCUCAGGCAGGAGGGCACUGGUGGCUGUAGCUUUGGCUAGUGGAUUCAGUGGAGUCAGUGGAGGAAUCAGGAUAACAUUGGUGGAUUCAGCAGACAAUCAUAAUGCAGACCCCAGCAGGCAGGGCAUAGCAUGCAUAUACAUUACAUGCACAAUUUCAUGGUUUUCCUAAGCAGAUCAAGAGAUAAUGUCCCUGCAAGCAGGGACAUGAAAGUACACGAAGUGCUCUUCCUUACAUAGCUGACUGGGGCUUAUUCUUUACUCAUACUAAGAGCAAUGGUAUGUUAACAUUACUACAUUACUGGUACAGUUUAGAUUUGAAAUGAAUAUCAUUGAAAGUGUGCUGCUUGCAUUAUGACUACUGAUCCACAGGACUUAGUUGCAAAAGGCUUCUCCUCAUUUCAUUCUAGCCGGAGAAUAAUCUUUCCUCACAUGUUUACUACUGGCUGUGGCCAGUGUGGCCAGUAUUCUUGAGCUCAGCUGAUUUUGGCCUGGACCUACAGAGUACUUCAGUAAAAGAAGGUAUGCAGGCCUUUGGGCAAGGGUCACAGAAGUCUCACAGAAGAACUGAAACACACCGUGAAGCUUGGGCCACAGAGUUCUGGAAAGGAGAUGUCACCACUCACAGAGGCCUAGUCUGAGAGAUUUGCAAUCAAAUCUCUAACCUUAUGCAGGCCUCCAUGUUCUGACACAAUGUCUUGGCCAUAGUAAGCUGGUAAAUCAGAAGUCUUACCUUUGGUCCAAAUCAUCUGUUAUAUCUGCUAUAAUACGUGUGGAUAACGGCUAGUGAAUCAUGCAGAACUGCAAAAUGGGGUCAAAAUACCUCAGUGGUGAAGAGAAGUUGUAGUAAGACAAAUGACAGAAAAAAAUUGUCAUUGAAAGCUGCAAAUGCCCAUGAAAUAAGACAUCUGCAGUAAGCAGACUGCAGUACAGGUACCCCCAAACAAUCAGCAUAUGUCUGCAGUGCUGUGGAGUGCAGCUUCGAACAAAGAAUCACCCAAUGAUGUGACUCAUCAAGACAGUGAGGAUGUGGUCAAGCAACUGGAAAAACCAACCCAUUUCCUUGGUGAUGUUUUUCUGGCUGGAGCAGCCAUUAAGCAGCAUUAAAAAGAAGAGAGAAGGACAGCUGCAGAGAGGACCUGGAAGGAAGCAAAGAAAAUGGGAGAGAUGAGGAGGGGAAGUGUAAAGGGUAUGUGGAAUGAUUGUUGCAGACGAACUCUGGCCUGUGAGGUAGGUCAGUGCUGUAACUCAGUGGGGACACAUUGAUUCUUUGCCACAUGGUUUCAUUCUGUGGAAUCCAAAGCAUAGGGUUGAUAGCUUUUUCUUGACCUGCUUCCCAUCGGGAACUGAAAUGAUGGCACGGAGCACACUGAGACCCAUGAGCUGGGAUGGACUCCCAGAUCCCAUUGUCCACACCUUCAAUGCCCUGAAUUUCCUUCAGAAGACAUUAAAUGAAACACAGAAUCAUAGAAUCAUUUGAGUUGGAAGGUACCUUUAAAGGUCAUCUAGUCCAACUUGCCUGCAGUGAUCAGGGACACCUACAGCUCAGUCACGUUGCUCAGAGCCCCGUUCAGUCUGACCUUGAGUGUCCCCAGGGAUAGGACGUCCAUCACCUCUCUGGAUAACCUGUGCUAAUGCUUCAUCACCCUUAUCAUAAAAAACUUUGUCUGAUAUCAAAAUCUCUCAUUUUAGUUUGAAACCAUUUCCCCUUCUCUUGUUGCAGCAGAUUCUGCUUAAGAGUCUGUCCACUUCUUUCCUGUAGCUCCCCUUUAGGUACUGAAAGUCUGCUAUCAGUCUCCCCAGAGCAUUCUCUUCUCCAGGCUGAACAGCCCCAGCUCUUUCAGCCUGUCCUUGUAAGAGAGGUGUUCCACCACUUG